rnacentral:rRNA from 1 species
AGGAAGAGAAAGAAAAUUCGAUUCCCUGAGUAGCGGCGAGCGAAACGGGAAGAGCCCAAACCAACAAGCUUGCUUGUUGGGGUUGUAGGACUCCAAUAUGGUAGUCUGUUAGUAUAGUUGAAGGAUUUGGAAAAUUCCGCUAAAGAGGGUGAAAGCCCCGUAGACGAAAUGCUGACAACACCUAGGAGGAUCCUGAGUACGGCGGAACACGAGAAAUUCCGUCGGAAUCCGCGGGGACCAUCCCGCAAGGCUAAAUACUCCCUAGUGACCGAUAGUGAACCAGUACCGUGAGGGAAAGGUGAAAAGCACCCCGGAAGGGGAGUGAAAUAGAUCCUGAAACCGUGUGCCUACAACAAGUCAAAGCUCGUUAAUGAGUGAUGGCGUGCCUUUUGUAGAAUGAACCGGCGAGUUACGAUUGCAUGCGAGGUUAAGUCGAAGAGACGGAGCCGCAGCGAAAGCGAGUCUGAAUAGGGCGAAUGAGUAUGUAGUCGUAGACCCGAAACCAUGUGAUCUACCCAUGUCCAGGUUGAAGGUGCGGUAAAACGCACUGGAGGACCGAACCCACGUACGUUGAAAAGUGCGGGGAUGAGGUGUGGGUAGCGGAGAAAUUCCAAACGAACUUGGAGAUAGCUGGUUCUCUCCGAAAUAGCUUUAGGGCUAGCCUCGGAAUUGAGAAUGAUGGAGGUAGAGCACUGUUUGGACUAGGGGCCCAUCUCGGGUUACCGAAUUCAGAUAAACUCCGAAUGCCAUUCAUUUAUAUCCGGGAGUCAGACUGCGAGUGAUAAGAUCCGUAGUCGAAAGGGAAACAGCCCAGACCACCAGCUAAGGUCCCAAAAUAUAUGUUAAGUGGAAAAGGAUGUGGGGUUGCACAGACAACUAGGAUGUUGGCUUAGAAGCAGCCACCAUUUAAAGAGUGCGUAAUAGCUCACUAGUCGAGUGACCCUGCGCCGAAAAUGUACCGGGGCUAAACAUAUUACCGAAGCUGUGGACUACACCAUUAGGUGUAGUGGUAGGAGAGCGUUCUAAGGGCGUUGAAGGUCGAUCGUGAGGACGGCUGGAGCGCUUAGAAGUGAGAAUGCCGGUAUGAGUAGCGAAAGACAGGUGAGAAUCCUGUCCACCGUAUGACUAAGGUUUCCUGGGGAAGGCUCGUCCGCCCAGGGUUAGUCGGGACCUAAGCCGAGGCCGAUAGGCGUAGGCGAUGGACAACAGGUUGAUAUUCCUGUACCAGUUGUUUUUGUUUGAGCAAUGGAGGGACGCAGUAGGCUAAGGAAUGCAUGCGAUUGGAAGUGCAUGUCCAAGCAAUGAGUCUUGAGUAGAGUUAAAUGCUUUACUCUCUAAGGACAAGUUGUGACGGGGAGCGAAAUAAUAGUAGCGAAGUUCCUGAUGUCACACUGCCAAGAAAAGCUUCUAGUGAGAAAACAACUGCCCGUACCGUAAACCGACACAGGUAGUCGAGGAGAGUAUCCUAAGGUGAGCGAGCGAACUCUCGUUAAGGAACUCGGCAAAAUGACCCCGUAACUUCGGGAGAAGGGGUGCUGACUUCGGUCAGCCGCAGUGAAUAGGCCCAAGCGACUGUUUAUCAAAAACACAGGUCUCUGCAAAAUCGUAAGAUGAAGUAUAGGGGCUGACGCCUGCCCGGUGCUGGAAGGUUAAGAGGAUGGGUUAGCUUCGGCGAAGCUCAGAAUUGAAGCCCCAGUAAACGGCGGCCGUAACUAUAACGGUCCUAAGGUAGCGAAAUUCCUUGUCGGGUAAGUUCCGACCCGCACGAAAGGCGUAACGAUUUGGGCACUGUCUCAACGAGAGACUCGGUGAAAUUUUAGUACCUGUGAAGAUGCAGGUUACCCGCGACAGGACGGAAAGACCCCAUGGAGCUUUACUGUAGUUUGAUAUUGAGUGUUUGUACCACAUGUACAGGAUAGGUAGGAGCCGAUGAGACCGGAACGCUAGUUUCGGAGGAGGCGCUGGUGGGAUACUACCCUUGUGUUAUGAACCCUCUAACCCGCACCACUAAUCGUGGUGGGAGACAGUGUCAGAUGGGCAGUUUGACUGGGGCGGUCGCCUCCUAAAAGGUAACGGAGGCGCCCAAAGGUUCCCUCAGAAUGGUUGGAAAUCAUUCGAAGAGUGUAAAGGCAGAAGGGAGCUUGACUGCGAGACCUACAAGUCGAGCAGGGACGAAAGUCGGGCUUAGUGAUCCGGUGGUUCCGCAUGGAAGGGCCAUCGCUCAACGGAUAAAAGCUA